rnacentral:rRNA from 1 species
UUGUGCUAAGGUAGCAUAAUCAUUUGUCUUUUAAUUGAAGACUAGAACAAAAGAUUUAACAAUUCAAUAAAUAUAAAUAAUUAUUUAAUUAACUUUUUCCAAAUGUAAAAAAACAUUUAUAAAACAGAAAGACGACAAGACCCUUUUAAACUUAACUGUAGUUUAACUGGGGCAGUUAAUCAAUUAUCAUUUUAAUAAAAAUAUUAAACAGAAAGAUCCAAUAAAAUUGAUUAAAUGAUCAAGUUACUAUAGGGAUAACAGCGUAAUAUUUAUUCAAAGAUCUUAUUUAAAUAAAAGAUUACGACCUCGAUGUUGAAUUAAUAUCCUAAAUUUAUUGCAACCAAUAG